UACAGAGGGUGCGAGCGUUAAUCGGAAUUACUGGGCGUAAAGCGUGCGUAGACGGCUAUCUAAGUCGGGUGUGAAAGCCCCGGGCUCAACCUGGGAAUUGCAUUCGAGACUGAAUAGCUAGGGUACGGUAGAGGGAAGUGGAAUUUCCGGUGUAGCGGUGAAAUGCGUAGAUAUGUGGAGGAACACCAGUGGCGAAGGCGACUCUUUGGCCUGUAACUGACGCUGAGGCGCGAAAGCGUGGGGAGCAAACAGG
rnacentral:rRNA from 1 species